GCAUUAAUGGGGUAGUGGUAACCUGGGUCGUUGCCAUAGUACCGGGCACAAUAGCUUCGACCCGCCGGGGGUUCGAUUCCCCCUUAAUGCA